CUGGUUGACUCUGCCAGUAGUCAUAUGCUUGUCUC
rnacentral:rRNA from 1 species